rnacentral:lncRNA from 1 species
CGAGAAUGGAACCCUGGGGAACACCACACGUGACUGGGAGAGGGAGGGAGUCACUGUCAGAAAUGGACACAUAUUGCGAGCGAUCCGAUACAUAUGAUCGAAACCAGUUUAGAGAACGAUCACCAAUACCUGAGUUUUUGAGUUUGUGCAGUAGAAUGUCGUGGUCUACUGUGUCAAAGGCCUUAGCAAAAUCAAGGAAAAUAGCUCCAGUUAGGGCUCCUU